rnacentral:rRNA from 1 species
GGCCGCGGGAAUUCCAUUCAAGCCUAACACAUGCAAGUCGAACGGAAAGGCCCUGCUUGCAGGGUACUCGAGUGGCGAACGGGUGAGUAACACGUGGGUGAUCUGCCCUGCACUUCGGGAUAAGCCUGGGAAACUGGGUCUAAUACCGGAUAGGACCAUCGUUUAGUGUCGGUGGUGGAAAGUUUUUCGGUGCAGGAUAAGCUCGCGGCCUAUCAGCUUGUUGGUGGGGUAAUGGCCUACCAAGGCGUCGACGGGUAGCCGGCCUGAGAGGGUGGACGGCCACAUUGGGACUGAGACACGGCCCAGACUCCUACGGGAGGCAGCAGUGGGGAAUAUUGCACAAUGGGCGCAAGCCUGAUGCAGCGACGCCGCGUGGGGGAUGAAGGCCUUCGGGUUGUAAACUCCUUUCAACCAUGACGAAGCAUUAUGUGACGGUAGUGGUAGAAGAAGCACCGGCUAACUACGUGCCAGCAGCCGCGGUAAUACGUAGGGUGCGAGCGUUGUCCGGAAUUACUGGGCGUAAAGAGCUCGUAGGUGGUUUGUCGCGUCGUCUGUGAAAUUCCGGGGCUUAACUCCGGGCGUGCAGGCGAUACGGGCAUAACUUGAGUGCUGUAGGGAAGACUGGAAUUCCUGGUGUAGCGGUGAAAUGCGCAGAUAUCAGGAGGAACACCGAUGGCGAAGGCAGGUCUCUGGGCAGUAACUGACGCUGAGGAGCGAAAGCAUGGGUAGCGAACAGGAUUAGAUACCCUGGUAGUCCAUGCCGUAAACGGUGGGCGCUAGGUGUGG